rnacentral:rRNA from 1 species
GGAAACGGCAACUAAUACCGUAUACGCCCUACGGGGGAAAGAUUUAUUGCUAUUAGAUGAGCCUAUAUUAGAUUAGCUAGUUGGUAGGGUAAUGGCCUACCAAGGCAGUAAUCUAUAGCUGAUCUGAGAGGAUGAUCAGCCACACUGGAACUGAGAUACGGUCCAGACUCCUACGGGAGGCAGCAGUGGGGAAUAUUGGACAAUGGGCGAAAGCCUGAUCCAGCUAUGCCGCAUGAGUGAAGAAGGCCUUUGGGUUGUAAAGCUCUUUCAGUGAGGAAGAUAAUGACGGUACUCACAGAAGAAGUCCUGGCUAACUCCGUGCCAGCAGCCGCGGUAAUACGGAGAGGGCUAGCGUUAUUCGGAAUUAUUGGGCGUAAAGGGCGCGUAGGCUGAUUAGUAAGUUAAAAGUGAAAUCCCAAAGCUUAACUUUGGAAUUGCUUUUAAAACUGUUAAUCUAGAGGUUGAAAGAGGAUAGAGGAAUUCCUAGUGUAGAGGUGAUAUUCGUAAAUAUUAGGAGGAACACCAGUGGCGAAGGCGUCUAUCUGGUUCAAAUCUGACGCUGAGGCGCGAAGGCGUGGGGAGCAAACAGGAUUAGAUACCCUGGUAGUCCACGCUGUAAACGAUGAAUGUUAAAUAUGGGAAGUUUACUUUCUGUAUUACAGCUAACGCGUUAAACAUUCCGCCUGGGGACUACGAUCGCAAGAUUAAAACUCAAAGGAAUUGACGGGGACCCGCACAAGCGGUGGAGCAUGUGGUUUAAUUCGAUGCAACGCGAAAAACCUUACCACUCCUUGACAUGGGAAUUAUUCCUAUUCGAAGGAAUAGGGUCGGUUCGGCCGAAUUUCACACAGGUGUUGCAUGGCUGUCGUC